AAGGCAUUCUCAGUGUUGAGGCAUUAGCCAAGCACACUGCUGAGGGUAUUCAGGACACUGACUCCAAAGCCCCCACAUCCACUAUCUCAACAAACAAUAAGACCAGCACCGUUGGAGCAAAGAAAAAUGAUGGCUCUAAUCCGACUGCUACAGUGGCUGGUCCAACUCACAGGCUCCCUAAUGACAAUGUGAGUCAGGAGGGUGAGCUAGGAGGCAUGAAUAGUAUACUGCCCGAUAAUCUCCUGGUAGAGAUACUGUCAAAGAGACUACAGUUAUGCAUUUCCAAUAUGCUGUAGCUUAGCAACUGCAACCGAGGCAUCGUGAUUGAUGGCUUGGAAACAAUGUACUGCCACUUUCCAAGCACUGUGCUCCAUGUCAUCAUCAAAGUCUUCAACAACCGCCAGCACAUCUAUGUUAUCAACCUCACCGACAGCUACUUUGAAUUCAGAUCCAGAGAGAGAGCUCAACUGGAGAUGACAGAGGCCUUACAAAGGGAAUAGACUGAAAGAGAAAAGCUGCAUGUGUAGGAGAUGGAUGAGGAUGAGUAUGACACCCUGUGUGAGGAAGAGAAAUCAUAUGCAGACCUUCAGCACUUGGAGAUGCUAAAGGAACAUAUGUACAGUAAGCAAGAGAGGGAGCAGGAGAAGAGGCAUCCGGAGGAGAAGCUCAGAGAGAAGGAGGAGCCGAAGAAAAGGUAGCAGAGAGAAAGAAAGGAAAUACUUACAGAGGAUAUAACAGAAAGGAGAAGUCAGUUGGGAGUUGCCCAGAGCCUGUUGUAGAACUGCACUCUGACUCUGGACUGGAACAGCAGCCUAAAAGGGGUAGAAAGAUAUCUUCCUGCACAGAAGCCAAAGACUCACUUUUGGAGGGUGCCAGAGAACUUGACGAAGGAGGCAAAAAGAAAGCCAAAGAUGGCAAAGACAGCAAGCCAACUGGCCAUGAUAAUUCUUUACUGCCACUGGAUGAACUGGAGAAAGAGCUGAUAACUGAGGCCGAAAGGCAGUUGUUUUCCC
ensembl:lncRNA